GGCGCGCAAAUUACCCACUCCCAGCACGGGGAGGUAGUGACGAAAAAUAACGAUACGGGACUCAUCCGAGGCCCCGUAAUCGGAAUGAGUACACUUUAAAACUUUUCCCAAAAAUCAAUUGGAGGGUAAGUCUGGUGCCAGCAGCCGCGGUAAUUCCAGCUCCAAUAGCGUAUAUUAAAGUUGUUGCGGUUAAAAAGCUCGUAGUCGAAUCUGUGUCCCGCGCCGCUGGUUCAUCGCUCGCGGUGUUUAACUGGCGUGUCUCGCGGGACGUCCUGCCGGUGGGCGCUCGUAUCGUUUCGGCGGUGCGUGGCCCAACUCGUAGCCGUCUUGCGCGGAUGCGAAUCCCAUCGCGGUGCUCUUUAUUGAGUGUCGAGGUGGGCCGGCACGUUUACUUUGAACAAAUUAGAGUGCUUAAAGCAGGCCAAUUUUGCCUGAAUAUUGUGUGCAUGGAAUAAUGGAAUAGGACCUCGGUUCUAUUUUGUUGGUUUUCGGAACCCCGAGGUAAUGAUUAAUAGGAACGGAUGGGGGCAUUCGUAUUGCGACGUUAGAGGUGAAAUUCUUGGAUCGUCGCAAGACGGACAGAAGCGAAAGCAUUUGCCAAAAACGCUUUCAUUGAUCAAGAACGAAAGUUAGAGGUUCGAAGGCGAUCAGAUACCGCCCUAGUUCUAACCAUAAACGAUGCCAGCUAGCGAUCCGCCGACGUUCCUCCGAUGACUCGGCGGGCAGCUUCCGGGAAACCAAAGCUUUUGGGUUCCGGGGGAAGUAUGGUUGCAAAGCUGAAACUUAAAGGAAUUGACGGAAGGGCACCACCAGGAGUGGAGCCUGCGGCUUAAUUUGACUCAACACGGGACACCUCACCAGGCCCGGACACCGGAAGGAUUGACAGAUUGAUAGCUCUUUCUUGAUUCGGUGGGUGGUGGUGCAUGGCCGUUCUUAGUUGGU
rnacentral:rRNA from 1 species